GCAUGGAAGCGGACGAGAAAAGCUGUAGUGGACCCAAGAGUGACCGUACCUGAAACCGACACAGGUGGGCAAGAUGAGGAUUCUCAGGCGCUCGAGAGAACGCUCGUGAAGGAACUCGGCAACAUGGCCCCGUAACUUCGGGAUAAGGGGCGCCUUCUAUCCGCAAGGAUGGGGGGCCGCAGUGAAAAGGAUCUGGCGACUGUUUACUAAAAACACAGGACUCUGCGAACUCGCAAGAGGAUGUAUAGAGUCUGACGCCUGCCCGGUGCUGGCAAGUUAAGGAAGAGGGUUAGCCGCAAGGUGAAGCCCGCAACCGAAGCUCCAGUAAACGGCGGCCGUAACUAUGACGGUCCUAAGGUAGCGAAGUUCCUUGUCGGGUAAGUUCCGAC
rnacentral:rRNA from 1 species